GAUGAACGCUGGCGGCGUGCCUAAUACAUGCAAGUCGAGCGAACGGACGAGAAGCUUGCUUCUCUGAUGUUAGCGGCGGACGGGUGAGUAACACGUGGAUAACCUACCUAUAAGACUGGGAUAACUUCGGGAAACCGGAGCUAAUACCGGAUAAUAUUUUGAACCGCAUGGUUCAAAAGUGAAAGACGGUCUUGCUGUCACUUAUAGAUGGAUCCGCGCUGCAUUAGCUAGUUGGUAAGGUAACGGCUUACCAAGGCAACGAUGCAUAGCCGACCUGAGAGGGUGAUCGGCCACACGGGAACUGAGACACGGUCCAGACUCCUACGGGAGGCAGCAGUAGGGAAUCGUCCGCAAUGGGCGAAAGCCUGACGGAGCAACGCCGCGUGAGUGAUGAAGGUCUUCGGAUCGUAAAACUCUGUUAUUAGGGAAGAACAUAUGUGUAAGUAACUGUGCACAUCUUGACGGUACCUAAUCAGAAAGCCACGGCUAACUACGUG
rnacentral:rRNA from 1 species